AACGAACGCCGGCGGCAGGCCUAACACAUGCAAGUCGAGCGAGACCUUCGGGUCUAGCGGCGGACGGGUGAGUAACGCGUGGGAAUAUGCCCUUUGGUACGGAAUAGCCUCGGGAAACUGAGAGUAAUACCGUAUGUGCCCUUCGGGGGAUAGAUUUAUCGCCAAAGGAUUAGCCCGCGUUGGAUUAGGUAGUUGGUGGGGUAAUGGCCUACCAAGCCUACGAUCCAUAGCUGGUUUGAGAGGAUGAUCAGCCACACUGGGACUGAGACACGGCCCAGACUCCUACGGGAGGCAGCAGUGGGGAAUCUUAGACAAUGGGGGCAACCCUGAUCUAGCCAUGCCGCGUGAGUGAUGAAGGCCUUAGGGUUGUAAAGCUCUUUCAGCUGGGAAGAUAAUGACGGUACCAGCAGAAGAAGCCCCGGCUAACUCCGUGCCAGCCGCCGCCGUAA
rnacentral:rRNA from 1 species